GCUGUAACGGUCAUUACAGAUGCAGAUAAUUGGAAUUUUGGACAUUUUAAUGCUUGCAAUCAGAUCGGCAACUCCACCCCUAUCUCCCGCAGACAUUCCAUCUACCUCAUCCAUGAUCAACACAGUUUUGGGAUGUUUUGGCUGAUCCAUUCUGAAGUGCAGUGAUUCAUUGCUGAUAAGCUCCUUUAUAGAAUUUGCAUUGCUUCCACCAAUUCCCUUUUGAACCUUGGCAUCUGAUUUACCUCGAUUGUCGCUGGCGUUUACCUCUAUAGCCUCAAAACCAAGCAUCUGGCUAACCAACUUAGCGGAUGUAGUUUUACCUAUGCCAGGACCUCCACAUAACAAGACAGCUUUUUUGGCACCAGAAUCAUUGAGCUUUUUAACCUUCUUUUUGCUUCCAACAUCUAUGAAGUUUUUG
rnacentral:misc_RNA from 1 species